AGAGUUUGAUCCUGGCUCAGGAUGAACGCUGGCGGCGUGCCUAAUACAUGCAAGUCGAACGCGGGCACUUGUGCCCGAGUGGCGAACGGGUGAGUAAUACAUAAGUAACCUGGCCUUUACAGGGGGAUAACUGCUGGAAACGGCAGCUAAGACCGCAUAGGUAGGGACACUGCAUGGUGACCGUAUUAAAAGUGCUGCAAGGCACUGGUAGAGGAUGGACUUAUGGCGCAUUAGCUGGUUGGUGAGGUAACGGCUCACCAAGGCGACGAUGCGUAGCCGACCUGAGAGGGUGACCGGCCACACUGGGACUGAGACACGGCCCAGACUCCUACGGGAGGCAGCAGUAGGGAAUUUUCGGCAAUGGGGGGAACCCUGACCGAGCAACGCCGCGUGAAGGAAGAAGGAAUUCGUUCUGUAAACUUCUGUUAUAAAGGAAGAAAGACGGAUGGAGGAAAUGACAUCCGAGUGACGGUACUUUAUGAGAAAGCCACGGCUAACUACGUGCCAGCAGCCGCGGUAAUACGUAGGUGGCAAGCGUUAUCCGGAAUUAUUGGGCGUAAAGAGGGAGCAGGCGGCAGCAAAGGUCUGUGGUGAAAGACUGAAGCUUAACUUCAGUAAGCCAUAGAAACCGGGCAGCUAGAGUGCAGGAGAGGAUCGUGGAAUUCCAUGUGUAGCGGUGAAAUGCGUAGAUAUAUGGAGGAACACCAGUGGCGAAGGCGACGAUCCGGCCCGCAACUGACGCUCAGUCCCGAAAGCGUGGGGAGCAAAUAGGAUUAGAUACCCUAGUAGUCCACGCCGUAAACGAUGAGUACUAAGUGUUGGAAGUCAAAUUUCAGUGCUGCAGUUAACGCAGUAAGUACUCCGCCUGAGUAGUACGUUCGCAAGAAUGAAACUCAAAGGAAUUGACGGGGGCCCGCACAAGCGGUGGAGCAUGUGGUUUAAUUCGAAGCAACGCGAAGAACCUUACCAGGUCUUGACAUACUCAUAAAGGAUCCAGAGAUGGAUAGAUAGUUAUAUGAGAUACAGGUGGUGCAUGGUUGUCGUCAGCUCGUGUCGUGAGAUGUUGGGUUAAGUCCCGCAACGAGCGCAACCCUUGUCGUUAGUUACCAUCAUUAAGUUGGGGACUCUAGCGAGACUGCCAGUGACAAGCUGGAGGAAGGCGGGGAUGACGUCAAAUCAUCAUGCCCCUUAUGACCUGGGCUACACACGUGCUACAAUGGAUGGUGCAGAGGGAAGCGAAGCCGCGAGGCGAAGCAAAACCCAUAAAACCAUUCUCAGUUCGGAUUGUAGUCUGCAACUCGACUACAUGAAGUUGGAAUCGCUAGUAAUCGCGAAUCAGCAUGUCGCGGUGAAUACGUUCUCGGGCCUUGCACUCACCGCCCGUCAA
rnacentral:rRNA from 1 species